rnacentral:lncRNA from 1 species
UAGCUGCCAUGUAUAUGAAUCAGGGGAUUCGCCUGUUGGUUUUGUUCACCUGAGUACCUGACAGUUUGGCAGGCGUGUGGUAUCUCAACACAACAGGACCCCCAUUUUAGUUUGGACACUACAUGCUCAAUUGUAGUAGCUCACAUUGGUGCUUGCAUGUUUGAGUUGGAAAAGGAAGAAGUAUCAUGAUACUGUAGACGCCUCAGCUUUUUGUGAGUGAAAGAUGUGCCUUACUUUGUUUCCGUUUUGAUACAAUUAUACAGCACCAUUUUGGCACACAUGUUUCUAUGAAAUAUGCCAGUUAUUAAUAUUGUGAAGAGUUUGAUGGUGGAAAGGCAACCACUUAGUUCAUGAAUCCCUUCCGAACCAUGUUUGACAUGAUGCUUAAGUAAAUUUAGCGUUCAGCGUCUUUUUCACAAAAACCUGACAAUUCAGUUCUGUUAGUCGAACAAACCCUGACCUGCCCACUUCUUUUCCCAGCUUGCGGCUGAACUCUGCUGUCUACUUCUCCUGAUAUCUGUUUGCGUUGUUUUCUGAAUGGAUCAAUUGUAGGCGCUUUGCCUCCAGCUGCAGAGUUUUUCUUUCUUUUUUUCUUAUUACUAGCAAAAGAGCAUGUGUGUUGCAACGGGUUAUGCAUAAUCUAGUCACUGAUGCUUCACUACGGAGCAAAAACCGGACUUCAAGCCCCCUCCUCUUGUGUCGGUCAUGGAUGUUGCUGAGUCAAGCCACUGUGACAAAAUAAGAUGGUGACUUAAACUGUUCAUUUAGGCCCUUGUGUCAUCUUCCUGAAAAGUGGGAGGACGACUCUGCUUGUGGCUAGAAUUUCCUCCUUUUAAUACGUCCAUAUAUAUUACAUGUUAAUGUCACCAAUCUCACGCUUGCAAUGAAUCAUAUAUAAUUGCAUAUAUCAUGCAUUAGUAAUAAAUUAAGAAGAAAAAAUGAUGCCAACAUGCAAAAAUAGUAAUCUAACCUUUCAUCGAAUGGUUUAGACAGACCUAUGUUAGCAUGGCGAUGCUGGUUUUAAUACCAGAUAUUAGCGUCCAACUCGGACUAGUCCAUCCACAUUCUGAACGUUUAUGCGUACAUGGACCAGUAUUCAGCGGAAAGCACACUCCAUUUCAAAAGUUCAGACUGAAAGAAGGAUGGAUACUCUCCCUUAUAAACUGGUCAUGGCCCUAAUAACCUGGAUCAUGCAUAAGAUUGGAGACACUACGCUACACAUAGCCGGCCCUGCCGGCCGCGCGGGCGGGGUGUAGCUGUCUACUUGAUCCUAACGACUUCUUAAUCGUUCAUCGUCGUCUCACCAUGACCGCUCAACCCCCCAUUUGACUCAGCAGCAAGCAUACACACGUAGUCUGUACUACGAGUAGAACUUACGUCCUCCUCAUGUGAGUAGUAUCAGGCUAUCCAGGCAAACCGUCGAGCCGUGGAGUCCCUUUCCUUUCUCAAGUCCACGGCGCUGCAGAGUCGGACCUGGCCCGCCGGCCGGCACGUUCAGGUGCACGCACAAUGCAUAUGCAUGGCUGCACGCGUAAGUUUCCAGGCGCGAUGGAUAUAUGGAUCUCUCCUGGCCGGUUCCGCCCUAAGUACUACUAGUAGUACGCUCUAUUUUUGCGGAGCAUGAUUUUUAUUUUAUUUGAUCGCUCCAUUGUCUGAUUUAAGCGGGCCUGCAUAUCAUGUCACUGGUUCAAUCUUUAAGUUGCUCCAAUUUUUUUUGAGGGAAAGCCUUCAUGACGCACUUUAUUGCAAAACAAACAGCGAUACAUCGUUCAUUACAUCUGAAACAAUAAAUCUAGGGGGAACAUCAUCCCAAAAAAUAGUAGAAUUUGAAACAAAAGCAUGUUUAACUAAGUUGUGCGCCACGUAGUUCACCUCCCGAUUACAAUGAUGCACCGAUAUUGAUCCAAUCCUGGAGGCGAUCUGAAAGCAAUCCGCAAGUACUGCUGCAUAUGGAGACCAUAUUUGAAUUGUUCCAUUAAACGCUUCGACGAGUUCCAAAGAAUCUGUUUCGACAGUAACAGGAACACAUUGAAGUCCUUCGAUGAGAGAUAAACCUUUCUGGAGAGCUGUAGCUUCAGCCGUUGCUGCAUCAAAAAUAUUGUGGAGAGGCCAACAAGCACCAGCAAGUGCCUCCCCUCUAUCAUUCCUUAACACAGCACCUGCACCACCAGUACCAUUUUCUGAGAAUGAAGCAUCAACAUUGAGUUUAUAUGUGUUCCUGGAUGGCUUUGUCCACAUAACUUGGAGAGGUUCAGUCGUUCAGACUUACAGUGCGCUGCAACAAAAUUGCAUGUCAGAGCAUGGAUAGAGAAGGCUAUGCGUGUAGGAUCAGCCACACGUUCUCCCUUGACGAAUUCCCUCCUGCCACCAUAUAUACCAUGCUCCCACAAGAAUUAAUUCCUUCAGACCAACAUUAUCAAUUACCGGCGAUGUGGUUUUGGGCUGUCGAAGCAUCUCUUCCAGAACAAUAGAACCUGACCUAUCUACAGGUGUAAAUUCAUCAAUGUAGUCUAGCAGUCCCAAAGUAUGCCAUACUUCCCUUGCUCGACUACACGUAAACAUAAGAUGUUUGAUAUCUUCUGCACCACACUCACAAACAGGACACUGAGAAGUCGUUGGGAUAUGUCUGUUCGCAAGAAUUGCCAAUCCUGGGACCAUACCAUGUAAGGCUUUCCAGCCAAAAAUCUUCACUUUACUCGGCACUUGCAAUUUCCAAAGGAUUUCCCACACUGGGUUACGCUCAGACGGUCCUUGGCCAUCUGCCCGAAUGAGUCUGUGUCUAUGUGAAUGAUCCCAUUCUAUGUAGUAUGCCGAACGCACUGAAAAAAUAUAUGAUUUUGUGAAGUGCCAUGCUAUGAAGUCCUCAUCAAGGUGUGCACUCAGAGGGAUACUAAGAAUUAUGUGCACAUCAAUUGGAGAGAGAAUCUCUCUCAAAAGAACCUCAUCCCAAGUUCCUGUAGUAGGAUCUAUUAAUUCAUUAACAGUUUGCAGCAAAGUGUUCCCUCUUGGUGUUUGGAUCAUACGAGAAGGACUACCAGGAACCCAAUGGUCUUCCCAAAUGUUAAUCAUUUCACCCGUACCGACACACCAAAUAUGCCCUCUUUGAAAAGUGCUUGAACCUGCCACAAUACUCUGCCACGUAAAGAAAGAUCCUUUCUUCGGACCUGCUCUAAUAAAAGAAUAGUUCGGAAAAUACUUUGCUUUCAGAACUUGCGCACAAAGAGAAUCCGGAUUUGAGAGUAGCCUCCAGGACUGCUUUGCAAGCAUAGCUAAGUUAAAAGAACCAAUUUAGUUUCGCCUUGGUAGAAGAACGAAACCUACUGGCCAUGCAACACAUCUCAAUGCGGCCAAUGAUGUUCUCACUUCUCUCCAAUUUAGUUUCGUCUUGGUAGAAGAACCAAACCUGCUAGCAGCCAUGCAGCACAUUCACGAGUCCACCAUCAUCUUCUAGAAAACAUGCUUUUUCCCGCUUUAUUAUAUAGUAUAAAGCAACAACCGAACCAAGUACAUGGUCAAACAAUACAAGAUGAUGAAGUGACAGUCUUACAAAGCCGACCCUAGGAUAAGGCGAAUCUCAUAGCAACUCAAUGGUGUGGAUAAGGGGUGCAGCCACCAAACAUGGGUACAACCACUACUUUUCCUUUUUCUAAUCAAACAGUGCAAAAAAUAUUAGCAUAUGUUGACGAACAUAAUCGCUUAUUCGCCUCUUGUUUUAAUUAUAUAUAAUAGAUAGAUAAUAUAAAGUUUCACAAUAACAAAUAUACGUGAUGUGAAAAUAUAUUCAAUGUUGAUUCUAGUGGUAUUGACUUGGUAUUGCGGAUGUUAAUAAUUUUGUAUAAACUUGAUCAAAGUUUGAAUUGAUACAAACCAAAUAUGCAGAGUAAAUAAAAAUGAAGGUUUUUUUUGCAAAAAAAAGUAAAAAAAAAAAGAAGGGAGUACUGUUUAUGCGUUCAGGUUUUGCUGUCAGGAGACUAAAUUCUCCUCAUGCUGCAGUUUUUUAUUUCAUGGAGUGCAUAUAAUAGGGAGUUAGUACAUGCUUGUCUAGUUUUUUUUUGAGACAAAAAAAAACUAGACAGCCCAGGCAGCCCAGGCCAUGGCCUGGGGGGCGUGAGGAAAUUCUCGAGCCUAGGAAAAGAAGUCGGCCUGGGGCGCAGCCCACUCAGUCAGCCCAAUAACAAAUAGCGGACGAGGGGACUGAGCAAAGAGAGUCGAGUUUUUGACGAGAAGAAAGGAGCCGUCCCGUGCCCGUCGAAGCCAAAUCCUAUUCGGCGCCUGGUACAGGGCGCACCCCCCCUGUACACUUGGUUUUAUAGCGGGCCGGCCCAUCUUGCUUUCCUGUUUCUUAAAAAUUCCCAAAAAAAGGUGCUCCAAGCGACUCGAACCACGCCCGUUCGUUUAGGUAGCCAAUCACAACAACCAGUUGAACCAGAUAACCACAUGUGCUAUGGUUGUUCUUUUUAUUUUCUUUAUAUAUUAACGCAGAAAAGGUAGUUGUUUUCCCUGUUUCAUUUUCUAUCUUUGUUUCUUUUCUCUUUCUUAUCUUAUUAAAAUGAGUGAACUUUUUUAAAGGUGACCAAAUUUUCGCAAAAUCGCUGAACUUUUUUCAAGUUCGAUGAACUUUUCUCAAAUUCGACGAACUUUUUUCAAAUGUGAUGAACCUUUUUUCAAAUUGAUGAACUAUUUUCUCAAAGUUGAUGAACUUUUUUCAAUCUCGAUGAACUUUUCCUCAAAUUCAAUGAACUUUUUUUGAAAAUUAGUGAACUUUUUUCAAAGUCGAUAAACAUUUUUGGAAAAUCGUUGAACUUUUUUUGAAAAUCGGUGAAUUUUUUUCAAAGUUGAUGAACUUUUUUGAAAAUCGAUGAACUUUUUUUGAAAACCGAUGAACUUUUUCAGUUUUAUAAAAAUUUGAAUCUGUGAACGUUUUUGAAUACAUGAUUUUUCAAGAUUUAGUUUUUCUGCGCAUUAAUACAUUUUUUGCACUGCCUUGCAUUCUCAUGGGCCAUCCGCCAUGAAACCACCACCCCAGCACCCUCUCCUCCUCGCCAUCCGCCACCACCACCGCCACCGCCACCGCCAGCUCUCCUCGUCCUCUGCUGACGCCGUGGCCGCAGCUGAGGUUCUGGGGACGCUCACCACCGCCCCUUCACCUGACGCGUCGCGCGACCUCGAUUGCCUGCUCCGCCGCCUAGGCGACCGCGGUCUGGCAUCCGCCCUCUCAUCCCUUCCUUCCCCCCUCCCAGCGGCGUCCGCCCUCCGCCUCCUUCACCACCUUGUUUCCAACGAUCCCUCCUCCUCCAGCCACGGCCACGCCCACGCCGACGACCUCCUGCCCCCCCGCGUCUCCGCGCUCCUCCUCCCCUCCCUCGCGGCCGAUCGCUCCACACUCCCCUCCGCUCGCCGCCUAAUCAGGCGCCUCCUACAUCACCACCCCCUCCACACUGCCGCAGCGGCUGUGGCCGACGCCUCCUCCAUCCCCUCAUCGGAUUUACUCCUCAGCACCUUCCUCAACUCCUCCGCACGUGGUUCCCUCAGGGGGUGCCACGGACGCCUUCCAUGUGCUCUCUUCCCGGGGCGCUUCGCCCUCCGUUAAGAUCUGCAAUAUGCUCCUUGAAGCUCUUGUGCGUGCUGGCCAGCUUGACGCCGCUUGCAAGGUGUUUGCUGAAAUGCGUGGUCGUCAGAACGUCACUCCGAAUGCAUACUCAUAUACCUCUAUGAUCAAGGCCCUUUGCAGGGCUGGAAAGGUGGACGGCGGUCUUAAGAUGCUUGCAGAGUUAGUCCAUGCUGGGCUGCAGCAAUGUGCUGGUGUAGUGCCAUACAAUCUGCUGAUGGAUGGACUUUGCAAGAGUGGAAGAGUAGACGAGGCUUUUCGGCUGAAGGAGAGGAUGGAAGAGAGCAAGGUGACUCCGAGCGUGGUCACCUUUGGCAUUCUGAUCAAUGGUCUUGCAAGAAGUCAGCGCUUUGGGGAGGUUGGUGCAGUGUUGCAGGACAUGGCUGGUUAGGAAUCACCCCAAAUGAGAUCAUUUACAAUGAGCUUAUUGAUUGCCAUUGUCGGAGGGGGCAUUUCUCAGAAGCAAUCAGGUUGUUUGAUGAAAUGCUCUCAAAGGAGAUGAAGUCAACAGCAGUGACUUACAACUUGAUUGCUAGAGCUCUAUGCAAGGAAGGGGAGAUGGAGCGUGCUGAGCAGAUAUUGGAGGAGAUGUUAUCGGCUGGGAUGGUAGUUCAUUUUGGUUUGUUUAAUUCAGUGGUUGCAGGGCUUCUCCAAAGGACUGGAAGUUUGAAGUCUGUGGUAAGGCUUAUAAGCGAAAUGAUUAUAAGAGGUAUGCGACCAAAUGAUGCUCUCAUGACAGCUUGUGUGAAGCAGCUUUGCAAGGGCGAAAAACACCAAGAAGCAGUUGGAAUUUGGUUGAAGUUGUUGAAGGAAGGUUUGUCUGUCAAUAUUGCAACUUCUAAUGCAUUGAUUCAUGGGCUUUGUGAGGGGAAGGACAUGGAAGGAGCUACUGAGGUUCUAAGGACCAUGGUUAAUAAGGGGCUUGAACUGGAUAGCAUCACUUAUAACAUAAUGAUACUAGGUUGCUGCAAAGGCAAUAAAAUAGAGGAAGCAAUUAAACUCCGUGAUGACAUGAUCAGAAGAGGGUUGAAGCCUAAUAUUUUCACGUUUAAUACAAUACUACAUGCUUAUUGCAUUUUGGAUAAAAUGGAAGAGGCCAUUCACCUGCUGGAUCAGAUGAAAAUUGAGGGACUUCGGCCAGAUAUAGUGUCAUAUGGCACUAUAAUAAAUGGAUAUUGUAAAAUAAAGGAUAUUCAUAAAGCAAAUGAAUAUUUGACUGAACUGAUGACCUGUGGAUUAGAACCAAAUGUAGUAAUCUAUAAUGCACUUAUUGGUGGUUAUGGUAGAGUUGGUAACAUUUCUGGUGCAAUUGAUGUCCUUAACACCAUGAAGUCUGCUGGCAUAAGACCAACUAAUGUAACUUACUGCAGUCUUAUGCACUGGAUGUUCCAUGCUUAUCUUGUUGACGAGGCGAAGACCAUGUUUGAACAAAGCAGAGAAAACAGCAUUGAGGUGGGAGUAAUUGGCUACACAAUUAUGAUACAUGGUUUUUGCAAAAUAGGAAAAAUGGAUGAAGCUAUGAAUUACUUGGAGCAAAUGCGGUCCAGGGGUAUACCUCCAAAUAAGUUUACUUAUACCACUCUGAUGUAUGCCUAUUGUAAAUCUGGUAAUAAUGAAGAAGCCUCCAAGCUUUUUGAUGAGAUGCUGAGCUCAGGAAUUGUUCCUGACAACGUUACUUACAAUACACUAGUUACAGGGUUUUCUCAAGUGGAUCCAUUGGACAAGGCUACAGAACUGCCUGCUGAAAUAUCAAGUGUUUUGACACAGAAUGAUUGUUUGUACAAUGCAUUAGUUAAUAGGAUAACCAGACCUUGGUGCCAGAAAGAAGCUACUUCCAGUGAAUGAUGUUUGAUUAAGGAACCAUAAGGAAGACUGUUUUCUGAACAGACCCAUCCAAGCAUGAAAGGGAACUAGAGAGACCACAGAGGCCCUCGCCUUGCUAUUGGCUAGAUAGCUUUCUCAUCUAGCAGGAACAUCAACCGAGUCCAUUCAUCUCUUAUCUUGGACAGCUAUCCAACAGCAGCAGGUUGCGCUUAAAGUUUAUUUAUGGUAAUGUAUAGUUGCUCAUCAAGCUGCUACCUUGUGGCAUGUGGGGGGUGCCCAACAGAAGCACCAGAUUGCCUUGAAGGUUCAUAAUUGGUAAAAUAUACACUUUUACCCAAUUAAUUAGUUUUUUAUUUGCCUGCCAUAGUUACAUGGAGUUCCUUUUAUAAAUCGACAGUGACAGAUAGUACUGUGUACAUGAUUUGUAACAAAUUUUGUGCUGUGCACUGCAUCAUGAUUGUUUAUUCAUGCUAAUGUGUAGCUGAAAACACUCUACCUAUUUUUUUUUCUUGGUAUAGCACCCAAUAGUAUUCUGAAAUUAGAACAUGUGAAGCAAAUAAUCUUGUUCUCAAGCAGGACAUCUUUUAUGCCUUCCCUUGACAAUGGAAAAAUAAUAACACGUUAUGCAUAAGCAUUGACUUGUACCUGCUUACACAGCCUAACUUUGGUUGACAAUGACAACACCUUGAUUGCCUCUCAGUGGAUAGAUGAUGACUGAAAGGAAUUACCUGCUUCAAGUUACAGAAGGUAAUGAUUUCUUCUCUUGUACUCAUAGGACUAUCAUUGAACACAUUAAUUCUUCCCCAUGUUCAUAUGAAUCAGCAUUAGGUUUGUAGUCCCUUUUCUGAGAUGGACACGAGUGAGUUUGAAAUUGAAAGUUUGAACUAAAAGAAAUAAACAACAUGCGUACAAAUUAUAUUAAUUUCUGUAAUAUUUUGUAAAUGUACGUUUUUGUAAGAAAUUUAACCUCCAAACUUAGGGCAAAAAUAUGUCCGUUUGUGCUUCUGCACAAAAAUAUCAAGUUCAUUUCGUUUCUUUUGUACAUCACUGCAAAAUCUGUACUUCUCUACUAUAUUUAAAAAGAACGCAAGGUUCCUUUUCCUGCCAACGGACCGCGUUCUGCUCCAAAGCUUCAUCCGCCCGUCUGUUUUUUUAUUGGUUCAUCCCCUCCCACCCACGCUGCCGUGAAAAAAGACAGAAGAAAAAAUACACGCCUCAUCCAACUCUCUAGGGUUCCCCGCCGCUGCUCCUUCUCUCCAACUUCAAUCGCCACACCGAUCCCUGACACGAGGAGCGUGACGCCAUUCGGGGAGAUUUGCACACCUGUCUCCAUUGGAACGCUCAAGGAGGCGCAUCUCGGCCACCGUCAAGGCCACCGCCGCCACCUGCGGGUGUAACGAGGUGGAGGAGGAUCUCCAGUGCUGAGGCGCCGGGUGGAGGAGACGCCGUGGUGUCUACAUUGCGCUCACUGCUGACGGGGGUCCGCAAGGUCGAGCGUUGGGAGGGGUUGAUCAGGAUUAUGUCGAGGGCGAGACGUCGACGCUGGUGUCGGCAACCGUGACCAUGACCAGGGGAGUGAGGCACCAACGACCAUGACAUUGACCAUGCUGGCCCCUUGUCUUUCGUACCUGCCGCGAUCCGGUUCAGGCAGCUGCCAUUCAAACUGAUCCCGUCCAGCAACCUUCAGGUGAGUGAGCAGCUUCUGCUCCACCGAUGCAGACAUACAGAGGUUCAACUUCAUGGGCUGGAGCUCGGCUGUAUUCACUUGCAUAUGCAUUUUUUCUACAACAUUGGAUUCUCCAGGAAGUUCAUGCAUGUUCAUCCUCUAUUUGAUGUGGUUUUCUCUCAUAAUGUGGGCCAUGGAGAUAGGUGCCCUUUUAGUUACCACAGAUUUUAGAAUUUUUCUGCUAACUGCCAUCUCCACUUUCUUGUCAGAUUAGGCAACUAAUAACUGAAUUUUUGCACAGUUCUACUCCCUCCGUCCCAAAAUAUGUGUCUCAACUUUAGUACAACUUAUUUUGGGACGGAGGGAGUAUCAUUUUUGCACUCAUUUAUGGGUCCAUCUACAUUGAUUUGAUAAAAUAAAAUAAAAUUAGUAGCGUCUUCUGCUAUUCUGUAACUUAAAUCAAGAAUGCCGUCUCAUGUGUCUGUUUUGAUAAUGCAGUUUGUAAUGCAAGCUAAUUGUAGUGCCAUGUUCCAGCUCCUUUUAUUUCCAUUGUUGUGUGCUUGGUUGGUCAUGUGCUCUCCUUGCCAUGUUCAAAUCAAAGUGUACCUGUAGAUGC